rnacentral:rRNA from 1 species
GACGUAGGAUGCGAGCGUUGUUCGGAAUUAUUGGGCGUAAAGCGUGCGUAGGCGGCACGUCAGGUCUGGUGUAAAAGCUAGGAGCUCAACUCCUGUGUUGCACUGGAAACCGGCGAGCUCGAGAUCGGUAGGGGAAGGUGGAAUUCCUAGUGUAGCGGUGAAAUGCGUAGAUAUUAGGAAGAACACCGGUGGCGAAGGCGACCUUCUGGGCCGUUUCUGACGCUGAGGCACGAAAGCCUGGGGAG